AUUGAACGCUGGCGGCAUGCCUAACACAUGCAAGUCGAACGGCAGCACGGGAGCUUGCUCCUGGUGGCGAGUGGCGGACGGGUGAGUAAUGCAUAGGAAUCUGCCCAGUAGCGGGGGACAACUUGGGGAAACUCAAGCUAAUACCGCAUGCGCCCUACGGGGGAAAGGCGGGGGACCGUUCGGGCCGUCGCACUAUUGGAUGAGCCUAUGUCAGAUUAGCUUGUUGGUGGGGUAACGGGCCUACCAAGGCGACGAUCUGUAGCUGGUCUGAGAGGACGAUCAGCCACACUGGGACUGAGACACGGCCCAGACUCCUACGGGAGGCAGCAGUGGGGAAUAUUGCACAAUGGGCGAAAGCCUGAUCCAGCCAUGCCGCGUGUGUGAAGAAGGCC
rnacentral:rRNA from 1 species